rnacentral:rRNA from 1 species
UACGAGGGGGGCGAGCGUUGUUCGGAAUUAUUGGGCGUAAAGGGUGCGUAGGCGGUUCCGCAAGUCCUGUGUGAAAUCUUCGGGCUCAACUCGAAGUCUGCACGGGAAACUGCGGGGCUUGAGUGUGGGAGAGGUGAGUGGGAUUCCCGGUGUAGCGGUGAAAUGCGUAGAUAUCGGGAGGAACACCUGUGGCGAAAGCGGCUCACUGGACCAUAACUGACGCUGAGGCACGAAAGCUAGGGGAGCAAACAGG